rnacentral:lncRNA from 1 species
AGGCAGAAGCAUAUAUAAGCAGGCUUAUAGAGAAUGGCAAGGAACCACGAGCAUAUGCUUGGGAUCGACUGGCAAGUGGAUAUCAUUCUAAUGGUUUGACGAAUAAAGCAGCAGAAACUCUGAAGAAAGCAAUCUCAGUUAGUCCACCUCGUUGGAAGCCUAAUUAUGAUAUCUUGGCUGCAUGUCUUGAAUAUUUGAAAACAAAUGGAAAUGUGGAGUUGGCAGAGGAAAUCAUAGGGCUCCUUUGCAAACGUGAUAUUUUUCCCUUAAACAUUUGCAAGAGAUUAGAAGAUUAUAUCCACAGUGAAAACCAAAAUUCAAUCAAGUGCCUUGAUCUACUUGGCCUGAAAGAUCAGAAUGAGUAACCCAAUCAAGUUUUAGAUUGAAACAAGCUCGACUUUACUAUCUAAAGCAUGAAGAAACUUCUGAUUGUAACUGAAGUUUUUUUUUUCUCUUUCUACCAUUCUCCUUUGUUAUAGUGUAGUGUAGCAUUAACUUUUUUCAAUGUUCUUGAAAUACCCAUGUAUUUGGAUUUUGUGAUUGGGAAAACCUUUCUUCUUCUAGUAAUCAGUGUACUGAGGAUUUGCAUCUACAAUUUUUUUUUCCUUGGAACAUCUUUUUUUUCUUUUUACCUUGGAUCCCUAUGUCAUGUGCAGUAUGGGAAAUCAAAAUUUGAGAAGACUAUAUUUUUCGUUUUGACUAGCAGAAGGAUAGGAAGAAGAUAUCUUCAUUCAGGCUCUUAUGCUGCUUAAGUCUCUUUACUAGCACAGAGGGAAAGCAACUCUUUUGUGUAAGAUUUGAAAGGCAUGAUGAGCUUUAACAGAUUUUGACUGGGUAACUUGGUUAAGUUAUCAAUUUUAAUUGACUUGACUAAAAUCAAUAUUAAACUCACCUAUUUUCACACCUAUAUAUGAUCAUAUUAAUUCAUUAUCUUAUACCAAAAUGUUGAUGUGAUACAUGUCGUUCAUAUAAGGAAAAAAGUGUUGGAGUAUGUUGGAAGGACUUUUCACGUGUUAUAAAACAUUUUUUCAAACAAGAAUCUCCAGAGUCUAGUAUGUGAUUUUGGAGCACGUUCCAUUUGACAUGUCAAUUCCCACAGAAACGCUGCCAACCCGUGGAUGGUUGACCGAUUUAUAUGGGUCCUGUUAAGAUUUUAAGAUAGGGUUGAUUUGAGACAUGAUUUUCAAAUUAGAAUAUUACAAGGUUCUUUUUUCUAACAAAUGAAAUCAACAAGGAUGAGGUGUUAAAGACAUUGAUUUGAGUAUUAUAGUUGGUUCUUAAAAUUUCACAAGUCACUUUUGUCUAAAAAAAGUAAAUUGAUCUUGAACGAGAACUUCUAAGAAUAUGAGUUCUACUAGGCAAGAUUAUCUCCAAAGUGAAAACCAAACCUCAAUCAAGAGCCUUCAUCAACUCGAUGUGGAAGGUUAGAACGAGAGACUGUCAUGUGUCACAUCGAAACAAGUCUGAUUUUGUUGAGAAGGUAAAUGUGUCAAGCCUCUACCGGUGGAGUCAAGCUCAACAAAUAUUAUUUAGGUCCUAAACCUUUCACGCGUUGAUCUUUUAAAAUAAAGAAUGUGGUAAAUGUCACAUUGAACUUGUCAAACAUUUUGGUGAGGUAUCUUUUAGUUAUUGUGAUCGUUAAUUUAAUUUCGUUGCACAUUCUCCAGCCGACUAUGAACUUUUUUAUUUAUUUAGGUCCAUCUCAUUUACCCAAUAAGAGAAAGGUAGUAGUACAUGUUAAGACGUAAUUUAUCUUAAAUGAGUGUAAACGACAACUUUUUUUUGCUAUGACAACAUUACACGAAACCUAACUGCUCUCCUAACGAUGAUUUUUUUUUUUUUUUUUUGUUAUUAUAAUGUUUUAAUGAAGUUGAUUUUUAAAAAAGAGAAGUGUUAGAAAAAGGAUGCAUCUUCUUUUAUUACUAAAGAGUGGUUUUAUUUUGUUAUUGAUAUAACUUCGUAGGUCAUUUCUAUUCAUAUUUCCUAAUCUUUUUUUAAAUAGAGAAAAGGAAAAUCGACCUUUCACAUUUGGACUCUCCUCUUUCUUCCGCCGGAACUUCCCUUCGACUCCUCAGUGUUGAAUCUGACCAUGGUGAAGCUCCAUUGCUCUCAGUCAUGGCUUUUUUGCUCCAAUUUCAAGUUACUUCGGGCUCUAUUCUACUCAACAAAAUCCCUACCUUCUCCAAGUACCGAGGAUACCCUCUUCCGAAGGGUUUAUCGGGCAGGUGAUCCUCGAACCUCGAUUGUUCGCGUGUUGGACCAAUGGGUCGAAGAAGGCCGACAAGUCAAACAGUCCGAUCUCCAAACGCUUAUCAAGCAGCUCAGGAAGUUUGGUCGCUUCAACCAAGCUCUGCAGGUACCCUUGUUCCGAAAUCGCAUUCCUUCUUACCACUUGUUGCCUUGUACUAUACUUGAAAAUUUUCUCAUUCUGGUCUGGCCCUUUCAUAUGAUAAUGAAUGUUUAGUUCGUUGAAGAGGAAAUUGGGUGGCGUCUAAAAAUUCAUUUGUUGGUAUCAACUUUAGCUUACCUUGUAUCUAUUAAAGCAUAUACCUUUGGAGCUUAAAGGUUCCAAUCCUCUCGCCUCACAUGUUAUUGAACAAAAAAAAAAACUGCCUAUUGGUGUGAAAUUUCCGACUGACCCAAAAGCUUAAACUAAUGAGUUAUGGUAAAUAUAAUUAUUAUCAAUACUCUAACUCUCCUCUUCACUUGUAAGUUUGAAAAUUUGAAGAAUACACAACAAAAAUCAAUAUUUUAACAUGAGUUUGAACAUGAAACCUCAUGUACUGAUAACAUUCAUUAAUCUAAUAAGCUUGGACUGAUGGGUUAUUUGCUAGUGAUAUUGACACUUCAACAAACAACUUGUAUCUCUUUUAUCCCAACAAUAGGAGCUCCUUUUCAUUUUAAAAAAAAUGGUAUGCAUCUUUAUUGAGGAAGGAGACUGUUCUUUGUAACCCAUCAGAACAGUAGAACGUUUAUGUUCUGUCAGCUUUUAGUACAGACCAUUUGGUAAGUUUAAACUUCCCCAGCUUGGGCUUUCUUUACCCACAAUUAAGGGCAACGUUGUAUUUUCAGUCACUAUAUUAAUGAUCUUACCUAGUAAGGUGGACUAGUUGUGGCAGUCCUCUUUCCCUUUUUCUUUGUCUUCUCUCAAACUGAAGCGUUGAACUUAGAUCAUCUAUGAAUGGUAAACCAUAAAUAUGUCUUCGUUAUCCACAAUUUGGCAUUAUUGAUUACUGUAAUAGUGUAAUGCAACAGUUGUGCGAAUGGGUACGUAAUGAAAGGAACCAAUGCCUGUCGACUGGGGACAUUGCUGUUGAGUUGCACUUAAUUUCAAAAGCUCGUGGUUUGGAACAAGCUGAGAAGUAUUUUAGCAGCAUUGGGGAAUCUUCAAGAGAUCAUAAGGUUUAUGGAGCACUUCUACACUGUUAUGUAGAGAAUAAAAAUUUGAAAAAGGCAGAGGCAAUCAUGCAGAAAAUGAGGGAAGUAGGAUUUAUGAAAACACCACUUUCUUAUAAUGCCAUGUUAAACCUUUAUGCUCAUCUCGGUAAACAUGAGAAACUUGCUGAAUUAUUGAAAGAAAUGGAAGAAAUGGGAAUUGGUCCGGAUAGAUUUACAUAUAAUAUUCGUAUGAAUGCUUAUGCAGCUGCUUCCGAUAUAACAAACAUGGAAAAGCUUUUGUCAAAAAUGGAGGCAGAUCCACUAGUUGCUACGGAUUGGCAUACUUAUUUUGUCGUAGGAAAUGGAUAUUUCAAAGCUGGUCUUUCUGAAAAUAGUAUAUUGAUGCUGAAGAAAGCAGAACAAUUCAUUGGUGACAAGCAAAAAUGGCUUGCAUACCAAUAUCUCAUGACACUAUAUGCUGCUAUUGGAAAUAAGGAUGAGGUGUAUCGGGUUUGGAACUUGUACACGAAUCUGCAAAAGAGAUUCAAUUCCGGAUAUCUUUGUAUAAUAAGUUCAUUAAUGAAACUGGACGAUAUCGAUGGUGCUGAAAGAAUCUUGAAGGAAUGGGAAUCAGGGGAUACAUCUUUUGAUUUCAGAAUCCCAAACAUGAUGAUAAAUAGUUAUUGUACGAAGGGAUUUGUGGAUAAGGCCGAAGCAUAUAUAAACAGGCUUAUAGAGACUGGCAAGGAACCAGAAGCAAAUACUUGGGAUCUACUGGCAAGUGGAUAUCAUUCUAAUGGUUUGACGAAUAAAGUAGCAGAAACUCUGAAGAAAGCAAUCUCAGUUAGUCCACCUCAUUGGAAGCCUAAGUAUCAUAUCUUGGCCGCAUGUCUUGAAUAUUUGAAAACAAAUGAAAAUGUGGACUUGGCAGAGGAAAUCAUAGGGCUCCUUUGCAAACGUGAUAUUUUUCCCUUAAACAUUUGCAAGAGAUUAGAAGAUUAUAUCCGCAGUGAAAACCAAAACUCAAUCAAGUGCCUUGAUCUACUUGGCCUGAAAGGUCAGAAUGAGGAACCCGAUCAAGUGUUAGAUUGAAACAAGCUCGACUUUGCUGAGCUAAAGCAUGAAGAAACUUCUGAUUGUAACUCAAUUUUUUUUUCUCUUUCUACCAUUCUCCUUUGUUAUAGUGUAGUGUAGCAUUAACUGUUUUCAAUGUUCUUGAAAUACCCAUGUAUUUGGAUUUUAUGAUUGGGAAAACCUAUCUUCUUCUAGUAAUCAGUGUACUGGGGAUUUGCAUCUACAAUUUUUUUUUCCUUGGAACAUCUUUUUUUUUCUUUUUACCUUGGAGCCCUAUGUCAUGUGGAGUACGGG